UACGUAGGGUGCAAGCGUUGUCCGGAAUUAUUGGGCGUAAAGAGCUCGUAGGCGGUUUGUCGCGUCUGCUGUGAAAACUCGGGGCUUAACUCCGGGACUGCAGUGGGUACGGGCAGACUAGAGUGCGGUAGGGGAGACUGGAAUUCCUGGUGUAGCGGUGAAAUGCGCAGAUAUCAGGAGGAACACCGGUGGCGAAGGCGGGUCUCUGGGCCGAUACUGACGCUGAGGAGCGAAAGCGUGGGGAGCGAACAGG
rnacentral:rRNA from 1 species